rnacentral:rRNA from 1 species
AUACGGAGGGUGCGAACGUUAAUCGGAAUUACUGGGCGUAAAGCGCUCGUAGGCGGCUUGUUAAGUCGGAUGUGAAAGCCCUGGGCUCAACCUGGGAAUUGCACUCGAUACUGCUUGGCUAGAGUAUGGUAGAGGGUAGUGGAAUUCCUGGUGUAGCGGUGAAAUGCGUAGAUAUCAGGAGGAACAUCAGUGGCGAAGGCGGCUACCUGGACCAAUACUGACGCUGAGGUGCGAAAGCGUGGGGAGCAAACAGGAUUAGAAACCCCUGUAGUCC